AGGGUCCACAUAUAUCUGAGUGAAUCAUCUCUAAUAGAUCACUAGGCUUCCAAUAUUUUGUAAAAGAUUUUCAUGUCAUUUUGCCUUUUACAUAUGGUUCACAAGAAUUGAAGUCCACUGGAUCUAUUUGGGGUAUAAGGCCUAAUUUUCUCAUACGAAGUGUCUUGUCCUUAUUUAUAUGACCUAAUCUUAAAUGCUAGAGAUAUGAAUUAUUUGUAUUAGAAGAAAUAUUUAUGUACUCU
rnacentral:lncRNA from 1 species